AUUUUGGUCUACAUGAAGGAACCAAGGAAAUUAAAAUAAAUAGAAUUCAACCAGUAAAUAUCUUAAAAUAGUAUUGAUUUUUUUUUGCAGUCAAAAUCUGUACUGUGGAACACUCUCACCAUUGGAAAUCAAUGGCAAAAUUUUAAUUGACUUCAACAAGGUGUUAUAUAGUAAGUGGAAGAAGAAACACAAUACUCUACGCAAUGUUAAUUACUUCGAAGAAGUGUGAGAAGCAGAUCUCUGAACACACAGGAACAACAGCAACAACAAGGAAGCGUAAUGAGACUGGAAAAGAAAACAGCAUUCAGUUGCUUACUUCUUCGAUAGAAGAUCUGCCGUCUUGGCUAUUUUGAGGGGUAACUUCUUGCUUUGAAAUGUGAAAUGAAAGGUAUUUAGGUGCCCAUCUUUGCCACCAGUGAACUUUUCAGAAGCUUUGAACGUCAAAGCUCUCUAUCUGAACAGAUUUCACUUUGUGCUUUCUAUUUUCAGAGUUGGGGAUCUUAAUUUCCUAGAAGUACUUGAAUUUGUUCCUCACAAGUUUGCUGGAUUAUGUAACCUGAAUUUAUUUUGUCAACAACAUCCUAAGAGGGAAAUUCACUUCGAGAGCCUCACUUUUCAAGCAAACAUUAUUUUGGCUGUCUGCUGGUCACUGUCUCCCAGUAACUACCAAGGAAAGACUGAGUCACUAAGAGAACAUGUUUUGUUUAAAGUUGAAUUUAUGCAGUGUUUCCCAUAUGGAAUGAGAACCUGAUCCUGCAUCAUGAAGCUCAGAUUUCAUUUUGACCUUCGCAAGGGCUGUUCGGAUCUUCAACACUUGGAGCCAGAUCUGCUCAUCUCCUUGGAAAUACUCUAGAUGCAAUUCGUUAUUUGAUGUGUUAUUAUUUGGUUCUUAUAGAAGUCUGCCUACAUUCAUAUGCAUGGGAACAGAAAAUUUAUCCUUCGCAUAAGACAGAACACUGUGUUCUCAGCUGACCAAAACACGAUCAGCCAGAACAGGAACUUGGUGCUGGAGGUCUUCAUGUUCUGAAAUUCUUCCCCACUGUCGUCACUUACUGAAGAGUCUCUCUUAAUUGAGAACAUCAGUUGCACGAUAAGCAUACAGGCAGAAGGCAGUGCUGCUGGAACAAGAGUGUUUGUAGACUGCAAGCAAGGAGAAGUUAUGGUGAAGAGAGAAUUCACAAGAGAUAUGAGGAGUUACAAGGAAGACCUUUCAGCUCUGUAUGGACUUGCAACUGCAGCUACUCUUUGCAACUGCUGUCACCACAGGAUCCAUACACUUUCUGCAUAAAAUACAUCAUCCAAUGAGUGAUACUAGAGGGGUUCAAGGAGCCCUUGUAACUUGUCCACAAAGGUCAUUGCCACUCAGUCCUACUAAUAGGAAAGUCCAAGGACAAGAAGCAUACCACAGAAGACAUGACCUUCUGGAGGGUGGAGUUAAAUCAACAAAGGCACUUGGUGACUGCUCACAUCAUUUUUUCUGGAUUCCAUCCCCACAGGUGCUGGAAAAUUUAAUUGUAGUCAGUCCCUGUUUGGUGUUUAGAGUCCCUUCCCAUUGUAUUUUUGGUGCCAGCACGAUGGCAAAGAAACAGAAAAUGGGCAUCAGGGUUGGCCUUAUGCCAGGAAGCAGCCACUGAUUCUGACCACAUGGCCAGGGCAGAGUAAGGCUCUCCUGAACCACACAGGAGAUGAAAACCAUCACUUGAAAGGCUGACGUUUCUUCCCAGGGAAUAACGUGACAGAGAGAAAGAGCCACAGAAGUGGUCUGUAGGCUUCAUCUCUAGGUGAGAGGAGGACUGUGCUGAGUACCCCCCAUGGGGGGUUCGCUUAUCCAAACUUAGUGAUAGCAGUGCAAUCACUAUUUUCCUAUUAAGGAAAAUAGACUGAUCUAGAAUGUGAUGAGACAUUUUUAUAGUCUCACACCAGGGAGGAUGUAACCACCUAAUAAAACCUUUAAAGGAAGUUACUGUGUUGACCUGUGGCAAAAAGUAGCGUAUAUGUCAUCCAUGCCAAACUAAAUUGUUUGGUAUUAUCAGUACAAAUUCAGAUUUCACCUACUUAGACAUCUUAGAGCAGCAAAGUCCCAAGAAAGUACUUCUCUAUGAGAGAUGCCAUGGAAAAAAAAGUGUUUAUUAUUACAAUCCUGUGUUUAUUUUAAAUGUUACAUGUCAAUUUCAUAACAACAAUUUGCAUCUUUAUUUUUCUUUAAUAGUGCAUAGCUUUCUAGUCUUUAUGGUCAAAAGGAAAGGGAUAGUUUAAUUUACUUAUUAUUUAUUCAGUAAGGAUGUUUCUUAUAAACUCAGGAAUUAUUAUUGUUAUUUAUGAUUUGUUUUGCCUUAACUCUUAGUAGAAAGAUUAUUUUCUAAACUGUAGAUGGUAAAAUAAUUCUCUUUUUAACUGUUCCACCACUACCAUUUGUACAAUUUCUUCUCAUUAUGCAGGACAAUAAGAAAAGUCAUAUCUACAUCCUGAAUUCCUCCAUCUAUUCAAAUAUUCAGUGUAAACUUUGUAAAUCUGGUGUGAACAACAGGUUGUCUGUGAAGAAGAGAAUACAAAAUUCAAUGAACAAUUUCAAAAGCCAAGGUAGAGGUAUUCAAAAGCAGAUUUCCACUCAGAGGCAUUUUUUCUUCUUAGGUAAGCUGUAUCAAAAGUUUUAGGACUGUUUUGGAUCUAAAGUGACAUGCAAAGAUAAGUCAUCACAAUAGUUCCAGUGAGUGUUCAGCUAAUUCCUAAAAGAAUGCAAAUCUACUGUGUUAACGUAGGAGUUUUCUAUCAAAUUCUUGACGUGGAAAUUUAAGCUGUUCCUUUAGAAAUGAAGCAAAUUCUUUGCUUUGUUAGUGUGGAGCCAGAUAUCGAGACAUCUCUGUGUACAAAGUCUAAACAGUUCAUCAGGAAGAGGUAACAUGGUGGCAAAUCACGCUUUUUGUCAAGCAGCUUGGAAUGAGAACUCUCCAGCAGUGAAUACUCAAGUACAAAACAGUGAGAGCAGGAUGAAUGUUCUCUUUGGUGCCAAUAAUAAUAUAUAGAGGAAAACAAACACAAAACUUUAAAACCUUACAGAUGUAAAAAUAUAUGUACUUCGCCAUCAUACCCAAUUGCCAAAGAAAAAGAAAUAUCCCCAUACACACCCAAAUGCAUAAGCUUGCAAAGAGAACAAAGACUGCUAUAAAUAUUCCAAGAAGCCAAUAAAAAAAACUAGGAGUGGUUAGUUCUCAAGUGUAAUGGUCUGCCAUAAAAGCUUUUAUUGUUAAGGGAGUUACUUUACUAAGAGCUGUAUGAAGAAAACUGAAUGAAUGUGAAAAAUUGCAUGCAAUAACCUGAACUGAAAGAUGAUUAUCAACCUCUGAGUUCUGUGCUUUUGAGUGUUUGCUGCUGUUAGAAGAUUGCCGUUGUGGUUAAAGAAAAGCUUGUUUUGUACUACUAUCCCUCCUCCAGGUGUACAGAGAGUCAGUGUGUUCUUCUCCUGUGCCUUUGUCUGUCCAUAUUAAGUGUCAUUUUUAAAAUUGAAGGGCCUGAUCCUGCAGUUCUGCUUUCAGGAGGCAUUACUCCUGUGCAGUGGAACAUUUCCACUGAAGCACUUUGCAGGGGACCUGAUCCCACAUGGUAGAAGGAGAAGUACUGGGACUCACUCUGACAGGAGAGUGGCAGCCCGAGGCCAGGGUUUGUUACCAGCCUGACCUACAGCUGCAGAGCUCACUCCUGAGUGACUCAAAUGUCUGCUGAAUUCACUGCUUCUCAGGAGUAAAAGCUGAAUUUCUUACUGAGACAAUUUUUGCCUAGCAAGUUAUUUACAAAUACACCAAACGCAUACUGACAAAACAUACAAAACUUGAAAGCUGCUUCUCUAACAGCUGCGAUAGAAGGAAGGAAGUAGAAGACAUGGUUAUUUCUAUACCUCACCAUAAGGGAGGUGCUCUGAGUGCUCUGCUAAUUAGGACCUUAUCAGUAGCUAAAUGAAUAGGCAGGUAUCAUACGCAUUCCAUGUCACUUCAAAGGCUGCUCCAAACUCUGAACAUUUACAACAUCAGGCUUUUAGAUAUUACCACUUUACAGAAUAUCUUUCUGCCUUUGAUUCUCCGGCUACUUUUUUUCUUUCCAGUGCUUAACAAACACAAUGAGGCCAGAUGAUGGUUGCAAAUCAGAAACCCAUUAGAUACAUCUACUCACAGUUUCCCUACAGAAAAUGCUAAGCUACUGUGUUUGGUGACCCUCUCUCACGCUUUCAUGUGCAUUCGUGUUGUGUUAGCAUUCUCCCUGACAUUCUCGGGGAUCAAGUCAAAGAGAAGAAAGCACUAUCAUCAAUUUUAUCACAUCCCUUUCUCUUACAGUUCCAAGGAAUAAAGGUAUUUGGAAGGAAAAAAAAUGAAAGAAAGAUACAGCUCAGUUUUGUGCAAAACCUUCACAGUGAAAAUGGAAAGCAUAGGAUUUGUACCUGCUUUAAUAAACAAAAAACAGAGUGCCCCUAGAUCUGCUGAUGUGUGCCAAUUCUUUCUACAAAUCUCCAAGAAGCAGAACACUGUAUUAAUGCAAUUUUAAGUAAUAUUUAUAUUAAUGAAUUUAUUGUAGCCUAAUAAAAAUACCCACUCCCAGGCUCUGAAGUAAUAACUCAUUUUGGACAUCGGUAAGCCAUAUAUAAAUCUUAGCUAGUUCUCCCAGGCCAGUGAUAUUCUGAAUACAAGCAAGUUUUUUCCUGCACUGGCCAUUAGAUCCAUCCCCACAAAGGCUGGUAAAUCAACAUUGCCCAUGGUGCAUCAAAGCACAAGAAAACAAGCUGUGCCACAGCAGGAGUUUAUUCAGUGACACAAGGCUCUGCUGAAGAGCAUCUAGACAGAAAUCAUCUAUCCCCAAGCAGGAAAUAUCUCCAAGACUGCAUAAAAGCCCCC
ensembl:lncRNA